UACAGAGGUGGCAAGCGUUGUUCGGAAUUACUGGGCGUAAAGGGCGCGUAGGCGGUUCGUUAAGUCCUGUGUGAAAUCCCCCGGCUCAACUGGGGAACUGCACAGGAAACUAGCGGGCUUGAGUUCGGGAGAGGGAAGCGGAAUUCCGGGUGUAGCGGUGAAAUGCGUAGAUAUCCGGAGGAACACCGGUGGCGAAGGCGGAUCUCUGGGCCUUACCUGACGCUGAGGCGCGAAAGCUAGGGGAGCAAACAGG
rnacentral:rRNA from 1 species